UACGGAGGGUGCAAACGUUGCUCGGAAUUAUUGGGCGUAAAGCGCACGUAGGCGGCUCGUUAAGUCGGAUGUGAAAGCCCUCGGCUCAACCGAGGAAGGGCAUCCGAAACUAGCGAGCUUGAGUACGGAAGAGGGUCUCGGAAUUCCCGGUGUAGAGGUGAAAUUCGUAGAUAUCGGGAGAACACCAGUGGCGAAGGCGGCAGAC
rnacentral:rRNA from 1 species